GGGGAUUUAGCUCAGUGGUAGAGCACUUGCCUCAGAAGCACAAGGCCCUGGGUUCGGUCCCCAGCUCCG
rnacentral:tRNA from 1 species